rnacentral:lncRNA from 1 species
UUUCUUGGAAUUAUAAAGACCAACAUCCAAUUCCAAGAAGAGGAGAAUUAAUUAGCGCAGAAUAAUCAUAUUAUAUUAAGAUAAGGGAAUGAAUUAUAAAUACAAGAGCCAGAGGGGAGGAUCUUCAUCACAAUUCACAAGCAAACAAAUAACAAGACCCACAAACAAUUCUCCAGAGACAAUCUCCUCGGCUUCGGAGGAUUUCUUGAGGUUUUCAAGGCUGAAACCGCAACACGGCCAUCAAGUUUGACAAGCUUGAAAACGCAACGGGAUUUAUCAAUUUCUGGAAACCCAUAGAUUCAUGGAAUUAUGCGUGACUUUCACCAUUUUAUGGAGUACAAGCCUGAGAAGUCGCCGGUGGUAUUCUUAGCUUCUGUUAUCAUAGCCGACUCGCACCCUCUUACCGAGAGCUAGGGCAUUCUUUAAAAAUAUAUUUGAUUAGAGAUAAGAAUGGUUUAUUGUAUUUUCAGAUUUGAUUAGAGAUAAGAAUGAUUUAUUGUAUUUUUGGGUAUUCAUGCAACGAGGGGUGAUCAUUCGGUCGGUUCGGUUUAAAACCUAACCGAACCGAAUAAAUCAAAAACCGAAAUUUUAGUGUUUAUAAAAA